AGGCCUCUCAGGUCAUCAGGCAGAGGUCUUCAAGCUGUUCCCAGAAUCAGAUCCAGGUCUGGUGUCUUCACUUACUGUUACUGUGGUAUUAACAAGCGGCGUUUGGACCGGAGGUACAUCACUAAUGGGUUUCCUGUGUCUUGU